GUCUACAUUUGCAAUGCUACAUCAGGACGUUUUGGGUUUAUUCUAGGCCUUUUACCCAAUAUCAGAAUAUUACCUUCCUGAAGUUUGUAUUUGGCAUCUGGUAAACACAUUUUUACAAACAAACAAAUAAAGUUGCACAAUUAUUUAGAGCAUAUGACCGGUCAGUGACCUUGACCAGUCAUUGAUCGAAGACUAGUUUUCAACUCCAUCAUUCUUGUUUAUCUGAUGUGACACUCGAAUGAUAAUUCAUUUAAAUGCAAAUGCUUUAACAAUUAGGCUAAUGCAUGGGUGAUUCAUAGGCUAUGUUAUAUUACACUAAAAUAGCUUGCUUUUUAGAUCAGACUACAAAAGUUAAUCACAGCCAGAUAAAUGAAAUAAUAGGCCUACUUAAAACAGAGAUACAACCGUAUGUAGGUGAAUAUAUUUUUAUUUCAAUUAUGAAUCUUGAUGUUGUUAGUGAUAUAUAGUCACAUCCAAUAUCUGCAAAACUAUUAAGAUGAUCAGAAACAGUUCAUUUAGUGAGAAAACGUCAUAAUGCAAACAUGUAUAGAUACUUCCAAUUGCAGAACAAAAAGCAAAUCCAAGGGAAUUUGCGUAUUGCAACCUGUAUAACGCAAAAAAAAAAAAACUGUUUUCAACUACAACUGAGUGGCGUUGUUGCGCCGGCUGGAGAGAAGAUGUGUCCUUUUUCACAUAGAGCGAGCCAGGAAAAGCUGUAAAAUGCACAGACAAACAGACUCAGAAAAAUCCUUUACGAAGCAACGAAGACAAGAGGCUCUUGCGGAAAAAUGUAAAGAUAGGCUACGAUGUUCCCGUUUAUAGUGUAGCAAUUCCACUGUUACAACCCGAGCUCCGUAUAUCAGGAGAGCAGCUGGAUUUGAGAAGCAUCCCCCGGUUUCCACUCACUUUUCUUGGCAUGCCUUUGGAGCUCGAUCUCGGUUUUUUUUUGCUCCGUUUUUCACGCUCAUGAACGCCAAUACACGGAGACAGGGGCACGGCUGGUCCACAUCAGCGCUAUGGCUUUGUUUAAAUACACCUAGUCUACAUGACGCAUUGCUGUCAGACGGCACGGCUUUAUGUCAAAAUAAAUCUGAAGAAAAAAAAGUAAGAAAUCAAAUAAUUGCAGGAAGAUGGCGCCCACCAAACCUAGCAUUCAGCAAGACCCUACAAGAAGAGAACGGGAAAUUAAAACCCUACACCCUUUCUGCAUGGAGGGAUCAGAGGAGGAGGCCGUAGUUGAUGCCCAAUUCAUGUCCAAAUUCCCCCACGACCCUUACUGGGAGAGGCCUGCUAAUACCAGCUCGUGUUCAGCCUCUAGGCCCAAGACACUCCACCUUGGAGGGCAACAACAUACCUCAUCGCCAUGGUAAUUCCAUCCCUUUCCCCCUUCUUUCCUUUCUCUGCCCUCCCUUCUUCCUUCUGGACAGGGGCAGACCACAGCUCAGCUGCUACACAUACUGUUACAAUACAAGCGAACUCUCUAUCUGGUCUGGUUAGAGAGACAACAUGGUUAAGGAUGCCGGCUUGUGCAUAAAAUGAUAACUCCACUUUACUUAACCCAAAAUGUAGGCCUAGAUGCACUUGGGUAUUGCUAUCCUUUUUUUCAAUGUUAGCUUCUGUGGUUUUUAAAUGUGGUCAAUUAGAAAAAUCAUGGUCGCUUCUGAGCAACACAUAAUGACAUGUAGAAUUAAAAAUCCCCCUGGAUGCUGUGUUGUAAUGUUCUUUAUUUUUUGUACAGGAACUAUUUAUGUCAUUUUGCUUUUUAUGUCAUUUAGCUUUUGCUUAAUGUCAUUUUUGACACUGAGUUAGUAGAUCUAAGGGGAGUUAGCUAUGUUUCUUCUACAGUAGGUAACUACAGUUCAAAUGAAGGAUCCCUCUCUUCCUUUGCCAUCCAAAGACAAUACAGUAUGUAGACAGUCAUACUCUAAUUAAAGCUGGAAUUGUGGCUCCGAGCAUUGAUCAACAAUACACCUCUCAGAGAAACACUGACUGUCCCUUUAUAACGCAGGGGAGCCUGUUCUGUGUUAUCAAACUGGGGGAGAUAAAAGGCUCCACAGUGGGUAACUAGUCAGUGGCAUUGUGGGAAGUCAACUUUUGACGUAUUCCUCUGGCUUACAGCUUCAUAAGAGCAUCUUUUCAUUUCUCCCCUCUUUCAUUUGUAGUAAACGAGCCAGGCUUACACAUUAGGAAAUGAACAUGGGGCAUAAUUCCUCUAGCUCUCAGAUGGAUUCCAUCCCUCUCUCCCUCUGACGUACAGCACAGGGGCGACGGCAGGAUUACUGUCGGCCUGAAUAAAGGGGAUUUAUGUAACGCUUUGAGAAAAAAACACUUCUUAAUAGGUCAUUACAGUCUGUGUUUAUGAUUAGCCUACUCUCAGGCCUGGAUCCCUUUAUGUGCUGUCUCACACACACACACACACACACACACACACACACACACACACACACACACACACACACACACACACACACACACACAGGCCAGUAUACUGAGGGUCCAGAUGAAUACAGCACACCUCGGCCUUUACUUUCUUCAGCUCCUCACUUUCUCUAUCAGGCUACUGAGAGUAGUGGCUCAAUUUAGCACUAGCAGUAUGGCUUCUUAGCCAGGCUAAGUAGUGGCCAAAUUCCAGCUGAGAUGAAGAGGAACACUGUGUGUGUGUGUUGCUUUAAAGUUGUGUAUGCCAUGUGGUAGGUAGCUAGGUUUAGAUGGGUUUUUCUAUGCUGAUGAAGGUAGGCCCCAUUCUGCCACCAUGAUUAGUUUAAACGGCGCCUGAACGUACGGGCCGGACAGCGUGUGUGUGUGUUGUAAGCGGUUUGCAGCACAGGAUGAAAUUGAGAUAAAUGGCUGUGGGUGAGAAGGAUGGCCACUUCUUCCCCGAGCAGGGCCGAACAGGGCUGCAGCGGCCCAGGUUCCCCCAGCACACCUGUCUCUUCUCGUUUACCAAGCGCUCUGAGGGGAGCUAGCAGUUCACUCCACUUGCCCCUGAUCCCCGUCUCAGUAAGCCCCGUCCCUUGCCCCCCACCCCCUUACUCCUUAUGUGCUGCUUGGCACACAAACACACACACACAAACACCCCUUGCCCCUAGAUAACAGCACACAAGGAUUGAGCUAUAUACCUUGAUGAGGUGUGGGAAGAUCAGGAUGAGUCUCUCACUGUCUGUGUCACAAGUACAGAUCACCAAUAAUACACUACUAUACAGUUAGGGCUGAGGAGCAUCCAUGUUGGCCCUUAGCCUAGGAGUAAAUGUUGCUGUACAUGAGAUGGUAGAGAUGACGCUGUCUAGUUUAUUCUAUUGAUGGACCAUAAAUGAAGCUUUUAUAGGUACAGUAUACAGUUAUUCAUUAUUACAUCCCAUUCAGAAUGAUCCUUGGUCUCCAAUUUUCUGUUUGCCUGUUUUCACCUUACUGACAAGGGCCCACAGUAUGAUAUAACCGGCUACCUCUUCCUGCGUUGUUUCUUAAUGCCAUGUCUGUCCUAACCCCAGCUCUAGAAACCAACCUUAUGUUGUGUAAGAACCAAGUGAAGCUACCGAUUAGAGUAGGAGAAAGAGCGAGACCGGCCUGCAGACUGGAGUUUUAUAUACCGUGUGGCAGGUGGCCUGCUUUGCCUAAGGAAUCUCUUUAGGGCAUGACAGCUCUGAAAACACAUAAAUCCUUCCUCCUCCCCUCCCCUCUUCCUCCCCUCUUCCUCUCCCUCUCUCUUAUCUCACAUUCCCAUUGCCAUGGGGAUUCUUUAUGCAUGCAGCUGCAAAACUUCCAUACUCCAGGUAUAAAACUCGAACAUAGCAGCUGUUCCUUUACCCCCAAACCAAAUAUAAAAGGAGACUU
rnacentral:lncRNA from 8 species